UCGUCAGCUCGUGUCGUGAGAUGUUGGGCUAAGUCCCGCACCGAGCGCAACCCUUGUCCCUAGUUGCUACGCAAGAGCACUCUAGGGAGAAUGCCGGUGAUAAACCGGAGGAAGGUGGGGAUGACGUCAAGUCCUCAUGGCCCUUAUGGGUAGGGCUUCACACGUCAUACAAUGGUCGGAACAGAGGGUCGCCAACCCGCGAGGGGGAGCCAAUCCCAGAAAACCGAUCGUAGUCCGGAUCGCACUCUGCAACUCGAGUGCGUGAAGCUGGAAUCGCUAGUAAUCGCGGAUCGGCAUGCCGCAGUGAAUACGUUCCCGGGUCUUGUACACACCGCCCGUCACACCAUGGGAGUGGGUUUUACCAGAAGUGGCUAGUCUAACCGCAAGGAGGACGGUCACCUCCUGCGUUUGUGAGGCAUGACUGGGGUGAAGUCGUAACAAGGUAACCGUA
rnacentral:rRNA from 1 species